rnacentral:rRNA from 1 species
GAUGAACGCUGGCGGCGUGCCUAAUACAUGCAAGUCGAGCGAACAGACGAGGAGCUUGCUCCUCUGACGUUAGCGGCGGACGGGUGAGUAACACGUGGAUAACCUACCUAUAAGACUGGGAUAACUUCGGGAAACCGGAGCUAAUACCGGAUAAUAUAUUGAACCGCAUGGUUCAAUAGUGAAAGACGGUUUUGCUGUCACUUAUAGAUUGAUCCUCGCCGCAUUAGCUAGUUGGUAAGGUAACGGCUUACCAAGGCAACGAUGCGUAGCCGACCUGAGAGGGUGAUCGGCCACACUGGAACUGAGACACGGUCCAGACUCCUACGGGAGGCAGCAGUAGGGAAUCUUCCGCAAUGGGCGAAAGCCUGACGGAGCAACGCCGCGUGAGUGAUGAAGGUCUUCGGAUCGUAAAACUCUGUUAUUAGGGAAGAACAAAUGUGUAAGUAACUAUGCACGUCUUGACGGUACCUAAUCAGAAAGCCACGGCUAACUACGUG